UGGGAUUACAGGCGUACACCACUGCGCUGGACUAAUUUUGUAUUUUUAGUAGAGACGACGUGUCACCAUGUUGGCCAGGCUGGCCUCAAACUCCCAACCUCAGGCCAUCCGCCUGCCUCAGCCUCCCAAAGUGCUGGGAUUACAGGCGUGAGCCACCGUGCCCAGCAAACAGUUUCUUCUUAAACUCAGUUUCUUGCAUUGGAUCAUUGGCUCUCUCUCUAUCUCAAGAACAUAGGAUUUUCAGUUACAAAGACUGUGGUAAAACAGAAAAACUAUUUUGCAUUCCCCUCUCCUUCACAUUGAGCAUUUCUUAAGAUGGAUUCCAUUUCUAUUUUUAUCUGUUCUCCUAGUCAAAAUUUUCAACUCGAGUUUUGGGUCCUCUGGCCUUGAAUAAGCCAGAAAUCAGGAACGAGGGAGAGGUUGUCCUCACAGUGAGCUGCUGGACCUCAGCAAACAACACAAACCUCUGCCUCAUGUAAAUAAAGGAACAGCAUUUUCCCUGGGCAUGGUGCAGAUUUCUGGAGGACUAAGGCUCCAUAUUAAAGUUAUACAAUAAAGGCCAGGUGCUGU
rnacentral:lncRNA from 1 species